UACGGAGGGGGCAAGCGUUGUUCGGAAUUAUUGGGCGUAAAGGGCGCGUAGGUGGCCGACCAAGUCGGGUGUGAAAUCCCUCGGCUCAACCGAGGAACUGCAUUCGAUACUGAUUGGCUAGAGUCCGGGAGGGGAUGGUGGAAUUCCCAGUGUAGCGGUGAAAUGCGUAGAUAUUGGGAAGAACACCGGUGGCGAAGGCGGCCAUCUGGACCGGCACUGACACUGAGGCGCGAAAGCCAGGGGAGCGAAUGGG
rnacentral:rRNA from 1 species